GACGAACGCUGGCGGCGUGCUUAACACAUGCAAGUCGAACGGAAAGGCCCUGCUUUUGUGGGGUGCUCGAGUGGCGAACGGGUGAGUAACACGUGAGUAACCUGCCCUUGACUUUGGGAUAACUUCAGGAAACUGGGGCUAAUACCGGAUAGGAGCUCCUGCUGCAUGGUGGGGGUUGGAAAGUUUCGGCGGUUGGGGAUGGACUCGCGGCUUAUCAGCUUGUUGGUGUGGUAGUGGCUUACCAAGGCUUUGACGGGUAGCCGGCCUGGGAUGGUGACCGGCCACAUUGGGACUGGGAUACGGCCCAGACUCCUACGGGGAGCAGCAGUGGGGAAGAUUGCACAAUGGGCAGAAGCCUGAUGCAGCAACGCUGCGUGCGGGAUGACGGCCUUCGGGUUGUAAACCGCUUUCGCCUGUGACGAAGCGUGAGUGACGGUAAUGGGUAAAGAAGCACCGGCUAACUAC
rnacentral:rRNA from 1 species